rnacentral:rRNA from 1 species
UUCGUAGGUGGUGCGGCAAGUUGGGAGUGAAAUCUCUGGGCUUAACUCAGAGGCUGCUUUCAAAACUGCCGCGCUCGAGUGCGAGAGAGGUCAGUGGAAUUGCAGGUGUAGCGGUGAAAUGCGUAGAUAUCUGCAGGAACACCCGUGGCGAAGGCGGCUGACUGGAUCGCAACUGACACUGAGGAACGAAAGCUAGGGGAGCAAACAGGAUUAGAUACCCUGGUAGUCCUAGCCCUAAACCAUCAGAACUUGGGGUGGCCCGCGUAGGCGGGUCGUCCCGUAGCUAACGCGUUAAGUUCUGCGCCUGGGGAGUACGGUCGCAAGACUGAA